GAAAAUCGUGGUGAUAGGUCACGUUUCACCGGCUGAGAAUGAACAUCUUUGUGAGAAAUUAUCAUUUGAUCGUAAGCAGAAUGGCUUCGAAAGUGUAGUUUCUACGCAUACCAUGGCAAUUGAGAGAUAAUUCGACAACUUUGACACAGAUAUGAUAUUUUCCAUUUCCUGAAUGGAUCACGACAACAUCAAUGGCAAUACAGAUUCUUCGCAUCUAAUGGUGGUUGGGGCUGGCUGCGGUCGUGUUCCGCUCUCGCUAAAUUCGAUCCGGCGCUACGUCGAUUAAGCGGAUGACAAGUGGUUGUGUCGGCGAGACUCUCUCGCCUCGUCGGGCCGUUUCCGGAAUUAACGUCGUGAUUGUGAAAUAGGCACGACUUCGGGAAACGGCGCAAAGAAAAAAAAAUUCUUCCCGGAGAUGGAGAGCACGAGCAGCGUGAAAGCGAACUUUUCAAUAGAGAUGUAUAUCGUUCGAUAACGACACGAAUAAAAUCCUACGAUUCGAAUGUUGAGAAAUUCAAAAAUCGAAGCGGAAGGUGAAUCGA